AUACUUACCUGGAUGGAGUCAAUGGGUGAUCUGGAAGACUCAUGGCUUAAGUUGGUGAUCUUCAUUGCACUUUGAAGGGGCACCUGCUUAAGGUCUCCUCAAGUAGGAGAGCCUACAUCAUAAUUUGUGGCAGUUGGGGCUUGCGUUCGCGCAGCCCUUUC